rfam:Schistosoma haematobium scaffold569_9, whole genome shotgun sequence.
AUUUAGCUGAUGAGUCCCGAAUAGGACGAAGCGCGCGACCCGGAU